rnacentral:rRNA from 1 species
AGAUUGAACGCUGGCGGCAUGCCUAACACAUGCAAGUCGAACGGGAGUAGCAAUACUCUAGUGGCGGACGGGUGAGGAAUACGUAGGAAUUUGCCCUUAAGUGGGGGAUAACCCGGGGAAACCCGGAUUAAUACCGCAUGACCUCGAAAGAGCAAAGUGGGGGAUCGCAAGGCCUCACGCUUUUGGAGAAGCCUACGUCGGAUUAGCUAGUUGGUGAGGUAAUGGCUCACCAAGGCGACGAUCCGUAACUGGUCUGAGAGGAUGAUCAGUCACACCGGAACUGAGACACGGUCCGGACUCCUACGGGAGGCAGCAGUGGGGAAUAUUGGACAAUGGGCGCAAGCCUGAUCCAGCAAUGCCGCGUGUGUGAAGAAGGCCUUCGGUUGUAAAGCACUUUAAGUUGGGAAGAAAAACUACGACU